UCCGGAAUUAUUGGGCGUAAAGGGUGCGUAGGCGGUUUUAUAAGUCAUCUGUGAAAUCUCUGGGCUCAACCCAGAGUCUGCAGGCGAAACUGUCGGGCUUGAGUAUGGGAGAGGUGAGUGGAAUUCCUGGUGUAGCGGUGAAAUGCGUAGAUAUCAGGAGGAACACCGGUGGUGUAGACGGCUUUCUGGACCGUAACUGACGCUGAGACACGAAAGCGUGGGUAGCAAACAGG
rnacentral:rRNA from 1 species